AACGAACGCUGGCGGCAGGCUUAACACAUGCAAGUCGAGCGCCCCGCAAGGGGAGCGGCAGACGGGUGAGUAACGCGUGGGAAUCUACCCAUCUCUACGGAAUAACGCAUGGAAACGUGUGCUAAUACCGUAUACGUCCUUCGGGAGAAAGAUUUAUCGGAGAUGGAUGAGCCCACGUUGGAUUAGCUAGUUGGUGGGGUAAAGGCCUACCAAGGCGACGAUCCAUAGCUGGUCUGAGAGGAUGAUCAGCCACACUGGGACUGAGACACGGCCCAGACUCCUACGGGAGGCAGCAGUGGGGAAUAUUGGACAAUGGGCGCAGGCCUGAUCCAGCCAUGCCGCGUGAGUGAUGAAGGCCCUAGGGUUGUAAAGCUCUUUCACCGGUGAAGAUAAUGACGGUAACCGGAGAAGAAGCCCCGGCUAACUUCGUGCCAGCAGCCGCAGUAAAAC
rnacentral:rRNA from 1 species